rnacentral:tRNA from 2 species
GGAGGAGUCGCAUAGUUGGUCUAGUGCAGCACGCUGCUAAUGUGCCAAGGGGUAACACCCUUCGUGGGUUCGAAUCCCACCUCCUCCG